UACUACUCCAAGUGUCCCAGGAUAAAGCUUACCGAACAUACCUUCAUCACUUCUGUGUGUUGGCCUUCAGGAUCACGACCCGCCAUUGAAAUUGGCUCUUCCUCCUGCUGGUCCUGAGGCACUCCAUGUUCAUCCUAAGAAAGGAAUCAGAAUGUGAGAGCUUGGAGACAUUAGAAAUGUGCUAGCUGUACUCGUCCUGCACUAGGCAGAUGCAGAUCAGAUACCAUCAGCAUAAUGUCAUCGCUGCAGUGGACCAGUGUGACAUGUGGAACAUCAAGAUGGUCAGGAGUUUUGCAGACUCCAUAUGGCAAAGUAUAUAGAGGGAGAUCUGGAGAUACUGAGACCCGGAACAGAGACACGAGGAAGGUCAUGUGAAGACAGAGGCAGAGUCUGAAGUCAUACUGUCAAAAGCCACAGAUUGCGAGGAACUACCAGAAACUGAGAGGCAAGGAAGGAUCCCUGCCAAGAAUCUUCAGAGGCAGCAUGGCCCUCCCACAGCUUGAUUUUAGACUCCAAGUCUCCAGAAUUGUGAGAGAAUCUCAGCCUGGCCAGAAGGCUUCUUUGUGGGGAAUGAGAGGCUGGAGUGCAGUGGCACGAUCUCGGCUAACUGCAACCUC